rnacentral:rRNA from 1 species
CGGAGGGAUCAUUAAAGAGUUCUAUAACUCCCAAACCCAUGUGAACAUACCUAGCGUUGCCUCGGCAGGUCGCACCUACCUUGUAGCACCCUACCCUGUAGGGCCUACCCGGGAGGUGCGGGUAAGCCUGCCGGCGGCCCACCAAACUCUGUUUGAUAUUGAAUUCUGAACCUAUAACUAAAUAAGUUAAAACUUUCAACAACGGAUCUCUUGGUUCUGGCAUCGAUGAAGAACGCAGCGAAAUGCGAUAAGUAAUGUGAAUUGCAGAAUUCAGUGAAUCAUCGAAUCUUUGAACGCAUAUUGCGCCCAUUAGUAUUCUAGUGGGCAGGACCGUUCGAGCGUCAUUUCAACCCUUAAGCCUUCGUUGCUUAGUGUUGGGAGCCUACGGCAACGUAGCUCCUCAAAGUUAGUGGCGGAGUUAGUUCACACUCUAGACGUAGUAAUUUUUUAUCUCGCCUAUUAGUUGGACUAAUCCCCUGCCGUAAAACCCCCAAUUUAUCAAGGUUGACCUCGAAUCGGUUCAGACAAACUCGCUAAAUUGAAGCAUCUUAGUCAGCGAAGGAAAAGAAACCAACAGGGAUUGCCCUAGUAACGGCGAGUGAAGCGGCAACAGCUCAAAUUUGAAAUCUGGCCCUCGGGUCCGAGUUGUAAUUUG